rnacentral:tRNA from 1 species
ACAUUGGUGGUUUAGUGAUAGAAUUCUUACCUUCCAUGUUGGAGUCCUGGGUUUGAUUUCUGGCCGAUGCA